CCGGCCACUGGAGGGCGGCAGAACACACUGAUGAGAAAAUGCUGUCUCUACAAAUCUGUCGCCCCCCACCUCCGUGAUAGCGCCUCACAUGAGGGCUCAGGCAUGUUGCCUGCACCCUUACCACCCCCCCAUCCCCAGGGCACUUUUAUUUUCCCUUUGCAGCCACAUGCUGCAGUGUGCUCAUACAGAAGCCGACGUUCUGCUGAGUUUGCUUCCUGCAUGGACAGGAACAGGAAGUCACUUGGUGCACAUGUGACUGUGAGAGAGGAGAGGAGAGGAGCCUUCAGACGUGAGGAGCAGCAGCCCAGCAGGUCUAUCAGAAAGCCAUACCAUAUGGGGGAGCACAGACUCAGGAACAGGAAGUCACUUGGUGCACAUGUGACUGUGAGAGAGGAGAGGAGAGGAGCCUUCAGACGUGAGGAGCAGCAGCCCAGCAGGUCUAUCAGAAAGCCAUACCAUAUGGGGGAGCACAGACUCAGUUUCCCACUGCCUAUCACCCACUGCCUCUCCCCGCCCGUCACCUCUCUCCUGAGACCCUCUCCCUAUCACUCACUGACUCUUAUACCGCUUUUAGACCAACAGCGCGGGUCGCAGCCGGGAGCCUGACACGGGUGCUACCCGGCUGCGCCCUGCGUCAGCUCCCUUUCCCACUGCACUCGCCAACCCGGCAUAUUGCCAGUGACGCGGCGGGGGUGGCACUUGGAGAUCACAUGAUCUCCAAGCGCCGCCCGCACAUUCACUGUACACUGCAAAGUUUGCCGAGUUGAACACGUGUUCAACCCUGCAAACCACCGGAGUUGGAAUACCGGGUCACUCGACCCGGAUUAUUCCAACUCGAACCUUUUACACCAGCCAGCAACACGGGUUAUGCACCUUCAUGUGCAAUAAUCCGUGUUAUAUGCUGGCGGUGUAAAAGGGGUAUUAACCCUCACUCCGUCACCUCUCUUCUAUUACACUCUUCCUGUUGUUCACCAUUUCCCCAUCACCUCUCUCGCUUGUUACCCAGUGACUCUCACCCUCUCAAUGUCACCCUCUGUUUUCCCCUCUGCUUGUCACCUUCCUCCACUCACUGGUCACUGCCUCUCCCUAGCUUCACUCUCUACCCUUCUCCCACUGCCUCUCCCUGCUGUUACCCUUUCCCCGUCCGCUCUCUCUCCUGUCACCCUCUCCCUGUCACCUACUGACUUUUCUGUGACCCACCGUCUCUAAC